GCCCCCAUCGUCCAGCGGCCUAGGACGCCGGCCUUUCACGCCGGUAACACGGGUUCGAAUCCCGUUGGGGGUAC
rnacentral:tRNA from 2 species